GUGAGGUUCGUUAACACAGUAUAUCCUGUGGAUACCCCACAUAUGAAUAACAGAAGAGAUCCGUGAGAGAUACGGGCGGACCAAGGAAACUAUAUUCCCCUUGGAAUGCGCGGCAACGUUAAAAUUCAAAAGAAUGGCGGGGCCGCACAAGCGGAGGGAACAUGUGGUUUAAUUCGAUGAUACGCGAGACUACCCGGGCUUGAUUGCUGGUGACGGUACUGGAGACAGUUCUUCUUCGGGACGCCAGUGAAGGUGGUGCAUGGUGUCGUCAGCUCGUGUCGUGAGAUGUUGGGUUAAGUCCCGCAAGCGAGCGCAACCCUUACCAUUAGUUGCUACGCAAGAGCACUCUAAUGGGACUGCCGUUGACAAAACGGAGGAAGGUGGGGAUGACGUCAAAUCAUCAUGCCCCUUAUGACCUGGGCUACACACGUACUACAAUGGCAAUCGAACAGAGGGAAGCAAUACAGCGAUGUAAAGCAAAACCCGAAAAAUUGUCUCAGUUCGGAUUGCAGGCUGCAACCCGCCUGCAUGAAGUCGGAAUUGCUAGUAAUCGCAGAUCAGCAUGCUGCGGUGAAUACGUUCCCGGGCCUUGUACACACCGCCCGUCACACCAUGGGAGUCGGUAACACCCGAAGCCAGUAGUCCAACCGCAAGGAGGACGCUGUCGAAGGUGGGAUUGAUGACUGGGGUG
rnacentral:rRNA from 1 species